UACGAAGGGGGCUAGCGUUGUUCGGAAUUACUGGGCGUAAAGGGCGCGUAGGCGGUGUGUCAAGUCAGGCGUGAAAGCCCCGGGCUCAACCUGGGAACCGCGCUUGAGACUGGCACGCUCGAGUUCGGGAGAGGAUGGUGGAAUUCCCAGUGUAGAGGUGAAAUUCGUAGAUAUUGGGAAGAACACCGGUGGCGAAGGCGGCUCUCUGGACCGAGACUGACGCUGAGGCGCGAAAGCGUGGGGAGCAAACAGG
rnacentral:rRNA from 1 species